CUAUCUUCUUCGCUUCCGUGAAAUUCGUUGGGGGAAAAGAGCGGUUGCUUCCAAAUCGAUCGCCCUGUUUCCUCUGAUUCUCCAUCGACUCGUCUAACCGCAUCAGCACUAGAGGAAACUAUUGGGAUUUCUCGAAAUUUUGUUGCAUGUGUCUGUACAUAUUUUGAUAAUUCUGUUAGAAAUGUCGGAUGCUAGUAUGUUACUCCACGAACGUACUAUUUCGAAAAUUUCUUUCUACUCUGUUAGACCGUCUAGUUUGUCAGGUAAACAUGAUACUUAUUUAUCAGGCAGGCUAUCAAAACAUAUUUUCAUGCUAGUUACAGUUUUACUGAUACUAGAGGUUACUGGGUAAAGUUCUUCGCUCAAAUAUUGUGAAGGUCAACAGCGAAGAAAGUAAAUGAAUAAACAUCAGGAAUAUAGUGCUUUUUAGGCAAGUGCUGCUUUUAACCCAAUUUUUUCAGAGUAUGCCGUGGUAACUGACUUUUGCACAUUUUCCUUUAAAGUACUGUAUGAAAUAGUUAGUUUAUUCAACUUUUUCUUCCUGACAUUUCCCUUGAACUCAAAGCCACAGGACCCACAAGCAGUGUAAACAUACAAAUUAGAGUAAAACUGCUGAAUGUACUUACAGAUGAAAAUUAUGAUGGAUUUUAUUCGAACAAAGGAAUUACAGAUAUUUCAUUUAUUCGCUCAUGUAGUCCUAAAAAUGUUUCUUUGAUUGACAUGACUUCAGUAUAAACUUCUUGCAUAGUUGGUCGGUCUUUUGGUGAAUCCACAGAGCAUUUCAGACCUAGUUUCACCAGUUGCAUUGUACAUUCUUGCACGCCGACCAUUACAUGUGUCCCAUUGCCUGAAGGUUUACUUGUGUUCGUCCUGGUAUUGUGGAAUAAAAUUGGGCUCUAGAAUAUCACCAAUCUUGUGAGGAAAUGCCAGUUCCACAAACUUGUGGAGACCAUGUCCAUCCUUAAAUAUCUCAUCUGUUGGGUUCUUUCCCAUCAGCAUUUCUAGCAGAAUAAUUCCAUAGCUGUAGACAUCCCCCUCAGUAGACAUGUUGCUACCCAUGCCAUACUCUGCAAAAUUUGCAAAUAUGUCCUGUGAAAUCCUUUCAACUGCUUAAUCAUUAGGUAAUAUUUAUUUUUGAAAUGACUGUAUUUGUUUUUUUACUGAAAGCAUAUGCAUUGGACACUUAAUUUAGGUACAUAAUUCUGGUGCUCCAGUACAUCAUUUUUUUGAUAAAGGUAAACAUGGUUUCCUUUUAGAAAUAAUGGGCAGGGGGUAAACAUGAUUUUUCAAGGAAGUACAACUUAAUUUGAAUAUAUUGACAAUAAAAGAAUGAAAUGUCUACUAACCUGGUGCAAUGUAUCCAAUUGAUCCUCUUGCCCCUAUCAAGCUUUUGGAUGGAUGGUCAUAAAGAAACUUUGCUAAUCCAAAGUCACCAACACGAGCACACAUGUCAUCGUCCAAAAGGACAUUGCUUGGCUUUAGAUCACAAUGGAUCAAAGGAGGCAUGCAUCUGUUAUGGAGAUAGUCCAAGGCAGCAGCUAUAUCCGUCGCAAUUCUUAUCCUUAACCCAAGAUUCAGUGGCCUUUUUGAGCCAUGAUUUUCUGUUACUGGAUGAAGCCAACUUUCUAGGCUACCAUUUGACAUGUGCUCAAGAACUAGAGCUUUGAACUCAUUUCCUGAUGGAUCAAAUGUAGAACACAUGCUUAUCGCCCUUACGAGAUUUCGAUGGCGUGUGUUUUUCAGGGCCUCACACUCAGCAAUGAAACUUUUUGAUGCUCCAUCUUGAUCAAGCCUGAACACCUUGACUGCAGCUAUGCGGGGUUCAGCCAAGAAUGUACCUCUAUAGACAGAUCCACACCCUCGCUCUCCAACCAGGUUAAUAGAAGAGAAACCACCUGUUGCCUUGUAUAGAUCAUGAUAUGAAAAUCUUUUCCACCCCUCGGACUGCUGGUUGAUUGGUUGUUUAGUUGCUUCCCGCUUUCUGUGUACAAUGGCUAUGACACAUAUGAGUGAGACUAGAACAAUGGUAACAAUAGGGACCACCACCAUUAGAACAUAUGAACUCCUUUUUCUUUUGAAUGUGGACUUAAUACAAGGUUGUAGUUGCAGCAUUUGAGAAUUUGUGCACAGAUUUUUGUUUCCUUGGAUGAGCACCAGACUUGAAUUGCCAAACACACCAGUUGUAGGUACUGGCCCUUGAAAGUUGUUGAAGGACAGAUUCAGAAGCUGCAAAGAGCUGAAUGACUCGAAGAAGCUUGGAAUUUCACCAGACAAGCUGUUCUGCGACAGAUCCAUCUCAACAACGCCUCGCAGGUUCAUAAAAGAUCCAGGAAUGCCACCUUCAAGAUAAUUUGCAUCCAAACGAAGCGACUCCAAGUGAAGGCACUGGCCGAGACUGUUGGGAAUUUUUCCAGAUAGCUGGUUGUUGGAGAUUAACGAGCUCAAGAUUAUUUAAGCUGCUAACUUCUGAUGGUAUCAGUCCAGUUAGUUGGUUAUAUGACAAGUCUAAGCCUUCAGAAAGUGAGGAAAUAGAAAACAGUUUUGGAGGGAUGCUUCCAUGAAAGGUAUUACAAGAAAGGUUUAGUCUAGUCAGGCUUCUGCAUCCUGCUAAACUGGCAGGUAUCGACCCACUUAAUAUGUUCUUCUCCAGAUAAAGUUCACUUAGCUUCUCAAGGUUUCCAAUUGAUCGUGGACUUCUCCAGAAAAUUUGUUUUCUGCUAAAUUCAGGACAAACAGAGUCUGAAUAUUUCCAAGUGUAGCAGGAAUAUUCCCUGAGAGGAAAUUUCUCUCCAUAUGAAUAAGAGUGAGACUGCUGAGAUUUCCUAUAUCUGGAUGUAUGAAACCAGUUAUUUGGUUAUCAUUCAGAAGCAACCACUGUAAGUUUUUCGGAAGAUUGCCAAUGGAAGUAGGUAACUCUCCUUGAAGAUUAUUCCUAUCCAAGUAUAACUUUUGCAACUGGGUGCAACUUGUUAGUGAGGACAAGAAAGUCCAGUCACCAGCUUCAAGCAGAUUGUCACCCAGAUCUAGAGUGACCAAGUUUGUCAAAGACCCCAGAGAAGGAAUGAUACCACUGAAUGCGUUAUUGCGGAGGCCAAGGUAUUUUAGGUCAGAGGCAUUUGCCAAAGAAGCAGGUACUGGGCCAUCAAACUGGUUACCUUGCAUUACCAACAUCUGAAUUCUCAGAAGUGUAUAGCCAAUGUUGGUUGGAAUUCUCCCAGAUAGCUGGUUGGCUCCAAGGCCAAGAUAAGUUAGAGAUGGGAUUGCAUAUAUAGUUGGAGGAACUGUGCCUGACAAGUUGUUAUAUGUCAUGUCUAAUACUUGCAAACCUGCAAGGCUACCUAAGCUCUCUGGAAUGCUCUCUUGUAAGUUGUUCAGAGCAAGCAAUAGGAAGGAUAGGGAGGAAAAGUUCCCUAAUGAGCUAGGUAUGCUCCCUGAAAGGUUAUUGCUAGUCAAGCUAAGAUAUUUCAAGGGAGAGGAUGCAUGAGCGAAGGACGGGAUUGACCCGGAAAAACCAUUGUAAGAGAGAUUUAAGGUGUAAAGCAAUGAGCUAUUGAAUAGUGCAGGAGGGAUCUCUCCACGGAGCUUGUUUGAUGCAAGGUUGAGGUAAGCAAGCGAGGAGGAAUUCACUAGGAAGCGUGGAAUUUCUCCUGUGAACGCAUUGUUGUCGAGAGCAAGCUUGGUAAGACGCGAGUUGCCUCCUAGGAACCGAGGAAUGGUGCCUGAAAGCUUGUUCCUAGCAAAGGAUAAUAUAGAAAGGUUCGGAAGCAAGGCAAACCCGGGUGGUAUGUGCCCCUGAAGAAAGUUGUCACUGAGGACAAGCUGUUCGAGGGAUGAACUUUGAGCAAGAGCUGAAGGGAUCUCACCUUCCAGGAGGUUGCUUGACAGGCUUAUGAUCUCCAGGCGGGAACACAUUGACAGUGCAUCGGGGAUCAUGCCGCCUAUGGAGUUGAUGCUGAGGUUUAGUUGUCUGAGUUGUGCCAGGCGGCCUAUCUCCGGGGGAAUGCUGCCACUGAUCUUAUUGUCCGGCAUGUUUAUCCUGGUCAAGAAACUGAGGUUGCCAAUGCAAGGAGGAAUCUGACCGGUAAGGUUCAGCGACAUGAGGUCUAGCGCAACAACACGAGGUGCUGCGCUCUGCACGGUGCUGCAUGUCACACCGCGCCAUUGACAGAAGCUCUGGGAGUCGUGUCGCCAUGUUGCCAGCGCUCCAGUGGUGAGGUUGCUGGCAAGGCCAGACUUGAGGCAGAGGAGCGUCUGUUGGUCGGCGUCAGAGUUGUUCCAAGAUGGAGCUGCGGCAUCGAGGGCACUGGCGGAGGGCUCCGGUGGGCAGGGUAUGGCAUCCGCCAUACCUUGAUUCUGGGGCAAUUUUUUUUAUACCUAUGCAUCUAUCGAUCGGCAGACUCUGGAUCGGCAUCGGCUGUUUCGUUCGACCGCAGCCAGCAGCGCUGGCCUGAUGGGCCGACGCAUCCAGCUGUUGGGCCACGCAGGCAGGCACGACAGGUUCGAUUCCAUUGAGAGUGUCUAAAAAAAGGUUUGAUUCGAUCGAGCGGCCACACACACAACGCACACGCACGCACGCGACCAACUCUACCCAGACGCGACGCAACCCUAAGCAGCUAGCGCGAUGGCGGCUGCUGGCCAUGUCGCGAGGACCAGGCGGGCGACUGAUGACGGGGGCAGCUGACGGCGGCGGCAGGCUGGGGGCUUAUAGGGCUGCCGCUGCAAGCUCCAGCGAAGGAAGCAAGCGGCGGCUUCAGUGGCGGUAGAAGCAAGUUCCAGCAGACGACGGCAGUUGGGAAUUUUCCUGGCCAUUCCCCGGUGUACGAAUCAGAGGACUAAUUGCAGCCACUUUGUUGGGUAUUGGCAAUUUUUCUUCUGUCAAUUCUGCAGGAUCUGAACCAACUACAGUAAUUCUGAAUAUAACGGAUAAAAAUUUAUGUAGCGAUCUUGUACAAUAUGGUGGAAAGUUUGUCUAUAUUUUUUCAUUCAUGCUAGUGUACUGUGGACGCACAAGUUUUUGUUUUUAGAUGAUUAUGCAUAAAAGCUAAUAAGAUGCCCAACCGGCGCAGUUCUAGACGCCAUUGAAAUCUUCAUUAUUGGUUUGUUUUAGGUUAUUUUCCUAUUGAAAUAUGCCUACAUUUUCAUUGUAUUGGGGUUAACGUUUGUAAUGUGUAUUGACUCUUUUGAUUUGCAUCAAAAAAAUUCUUUCCUUAAGACUUCGCCACACCUUAAAAAAAAUUCGUCCUCCGCCUCUGAUCGAGGGAGUGCGUGCAGGGGAAGAACAAGGCCACCAAAAUGGUCGACAGAGAAAGAAGCAGUGUAGGGAAAGAUGGUUCCAUGUUAGGGACUCAGAAGUCAGUACUGGCAGAUUGAAAGUUGUUUUCAUGCCACGUGUUUCUCGAUUAUAUUAGUCAAAGAAGUCAGUACUGGCAGAUUGAAAAGGUAUGGCGAACAAUUCUCAGGCAGAACCUAUCUUUAGGAUUUACCAUUUAAAUAUCAGUAGAGUAGACUGCAAUCUUUUUGCCUGGGUGUUUACCAGUAACAGAGUAACAGACAAAAUGGCACCGUCUUUAUUCUGCACCUCACGAGAACUUUCCAACAUUUGUAGGAGCACUGUGCGCAAAUGUGCUACUCACAGACGGUUGCAUGGUGCUAACCAUAUUAAGUUCCAGUUGUAAAUAAUUUGAUUGUGGCGAACUUUACCAAACUAGCUUAAUUUACUAUGAUGCAAAACCACUUGUUUAUAUGAGUGGUCACUUUCUGUUUCAGUUGUGGUGGUUGGUUUGGCUGCCAAGCUUCACUGAUCUUGGCAAGUUUGAAUUGCCGUCUUGUAGUGAUACUUUAUAGAAUAGAUACACGUCUUUUGCACAUUCUAGAAACAAAGAUACCGACUUCUAAUUUUAAUUUUAUGUGAUGUUGAUACUUGAUACGAGCACAAUUUGUCGCACAUGCCUUAUUGGAUUAUAUCGAGGAAGGUGCCGUGAUGGUACACAAGUUGAUCGCUCCAUUGAGGAAGGUGCCAUGAUGGUACACAAGUUGAUCGCUCCAUCUAGCCACUUGGACUAUAGUAGUAAGUUUCUGGCUUCAACUGCUCAAUGGAUGACGCUCAUGCCACCCUCCAUGGGAUGAUGCACAUUAUAUAUGCACACAUUUGGUGCCUAGCAUUCUUGACUUGUGCCUCAUCAAGCCAACUGCUCCUGAUUCCUGAAGCGGUAAAAAGAGCGAGCUUUGAGAUUGGCAGCAAUGGCGACGAAACCACUAGUUGGCUCUCCGCUCUCGGCCUCUCCUGCUGCUCAAAGCACCCCUGACCCUGGCCUUCCAACUGGUGUUGCUGCUCAAGGCACCCCCACCCCUGGCCCUUCCAGUGGUGGUGGUGGUACCGGUGCUGCUGCUCCAGUCCCCGACGGUGGCCCUAAAAGUGGCAGCGGGAAUCCAAUUGGGUCACCUCCCGUGUUUCACGGAUAAGUUCUUGUUCUGCUUCAGAUCUCCGACCUUGUCUUGUGCAAGUUUCAAACUGUAAUAUGUUUGUUCCCAGUUCGGUCAAGGGUUCGACCGCCCUCUUGUUCGUUAAGCAUGGAGUUUGAAUGUUUGAUAACCACAACCUUGGUUCUUAUAACUGAUGUUGUUUUAAGUAUGGAUAUAUGGCUUGAAUACGCACAUCUGAUCAAUAGUAUCUAUGGGUCUAAAGCAGUGUAAUUCAGAUGCCAUCGAUCUGUGACAUUAUUCAAGUUGUAUGUCGAGGUUAAACAUGAGAUGCGUGUGGCAAGGUCAAACACAGAUAUAUGUUGAGGUGAAAUGAAGACCUAUGUGUUGCA